CCAAUAGCGUAUAUUAAAGUUGUUGCAGUUAAAAAGCUCGUAGUUGAAUUUCGGGAUCAGCAAGUUGGUCGUGCCACUGGUAUGUACUGGCUUUGCUGAUUCCUCCUUCUUGUAGAACCGUAAUGCCAUUAAUUUGGUGUUGCGGGGAAACAGGACUGUUACUUUGAAAAAAUGAGAGUGUUUAAAGCAGGCUAACGCUUGAAUACAUUAGCAUGGAAUAAUGACAUAGGACGAGCGAUCCUAUUUUGUUGGUUUCUAGGAUUGACGUAAUGAUUAAUAGGGAUAGUUGGGGGCAUUAGUAUUCAAUUGUCAGAGGUGAAAUUCUUGGAUUUAUUGAAGACUAACUACUGCGAAAGCAUUUGCCAAGGAUGUUUUCAUUAAUCAAGAACGAAAGUUAGGGGAUCGAAGACGAUCAGAUACCGUCGUAGUCUUAACCAUAAACUAUGCCGACUAGGGAUCGGAUGAUGUUAUUUAUAAUGACUCAUUCGGCGCCUUACG
rnacentral:rRNA from 1 species